AACGAACGCUGGCGGCAUGCCUAACACAUGCAAGUCGAACGAGACCUUCGGGUCUAGUGGCGCACGGGUGCGUAACGCGUGGGAAUCUGCCCUUGGGUUCGGAAUAACAGUGAGAAAUUACUGCUAAUACCGGAUGAUGUCUUCUGACCAAAGAUUUAUCGCCCAGGGAUGAGCCCGCGUAGGAUUAGCUAGUUGGUGGGGUAAUGGCCUACCAAGGCGACGAUCCUUAGCUGGUCUGAGAGGAUGAUCAGCCACACUGGGACUGAGACACGGCCCAGACUCCUACGGGAGGCAGCAGUGGGGAAUAUUGGACAAUGGGCGCAAGCCUGAUCCAGCAAUGCCGCGUGAGUGAUGAAGGCCUUAGGGUUGUAAAGCUCUUUUACCCGGGAUGAUAAUGACAGUACCGGGAGAAUAAGCUCCGGCUAACUCCGUG
rnacentral:rRNA from 1 species